ensembl:lncRNA novel transcript
CGAGCUGCAGGAGGCCGCGGGCGCGAGACUGGGAAUGCGCAGGGCCCCCGCCUGGCUCUACAAGCCCGGGCCGCGGCCCCCGCCUUCCCCGCCGCCUCCCGGCGCUCCGUGCCCGCCCCACGAGGCCGGCGGCUGCUGCUACCUGGGGCCGUUGCUGCUUGUGCCGUGAGCGACGGCCAGCCAUUGUCCCCGCCGCUCCGUCAGCCGCGCCCGGCCGCGCGCGCACCGGAAGGCGCAUUGGCGUCUUGCGGGCUCCGGGCCGGGUGGGCAGGAUGGCCUCCACAAGCCGCAUGGCGCGCAUGGGGAGCCUCCGUUGAUGCCGCCGCGCCGCCCUCCGAGGCUGCAUCCGCGGAAGCCCGGCUCCCCGAGCGCUCCGGCCCGGCCCGGCGCCCCGGACCUGAGUGCGUCCCCAUGAAGGCGCCCGGGCUGGCCCAGGCGGCCGUGGCAGAGGAGACCCCGGACUGGGCGCCCGAGCUCUGCCCCAGCCCCGAGUCGCGGUCGCCGGAGCCGCCUGCCAACCGCCUUCAAGACUUCGACACGCUGGUCACCGUGGGAAAGCAACUAGAAGCCAUUUGUGUCAAGGUAACGUCUGGAGAAACAAAAGGUCAGGAACGGCCAACGUCCCUACUGGCCACAGUCUAGCCCCAAUCUGCAAGACAGAGCCAGCCGCCCCGGGGGAAUUCCCGCCUGGUGGGACUCCACGUCACCAGCCCCCAGCUGCUCAGGGUACAGCCCCUCGUGAGAACCGAGCCACAGUCAUGUUUCCUACAUCAGCCUCCUGCUCAGGGGUUUGUACAGAGACCACUGCCAGCCCUCUAGGUGGUCCCUGCAAAGAAAGUCCCAGCUCCCAAGGCUCCAAAUGGACAGGGCACCAUGUUGACCCCUUCGUUGGCCUCCAGUUCGCCGACUGUAACAUGUUUCAUCCAGUUCAGGACGUUUAUUUAUUUCCAACUUGCAUACAAAACAUACUGAGAAACUAAAACCAUCGUUAAAAGUGAAGACACGUUGAGACAGGUAUCUCGACCUGCCAAGUAUACAGCUAAAGCUGAGUUCAUAAAAAGGGAUGAUUUGGCCGACGGUCAUCUGCCAGAUUCUGAUGAUGAUUCAGAAGUCAGUGUGGAAGAAGAUCAGAGGGAGAGGCAGGCGCUCUUUGACUUAUCAAGCUGCUCCCUGAGGCCCAAAAGCUUCAAGUGUCAGACUUGUAAAAAGUCAUAUAUAGGGAAGUGGGGACUGGCCCAGCAUUUUAAACUUAAUCCAGGCCAUGGCCAGCUGGACCCUGAGAUGGUGCUAUCUGAGAAAGCCAAUGGGAGCACCCUCCGGGGGUGCACAGAGGAAAGGACGCUCAGCCUGACCUUCCCGAGGCUGUCCGUGCCAGCGGCUCCGCGUGAGGGAGGGGCCCGCUCCUGCUUGUCUCACUCUGUCGCCCAGGCUGGAGUACAGUGGAGCAGUCUGAGUUCACUACAACCUCCACCUCCCAGGUUCAAGUGAUUCUCCUGCCUCAACCUCCCGAGUAGCUGGGACUACAGUCACGUACCACCAGUAAUUUUUUUAUAUUUUUAGCAGAAACGGGGUUUCACCACGUUGGCCAGGCUGGUCUUGAACUCUUGACCUCAAGUGAUCCAUUCACCUUGGCCUCCCAAAGUGCUGGGAUUACAGGUGUGAGCCACCGCACCUGGCCUGUGUAUUUACCUUGUAUGCUACUACAUUGCUGAUUUCAUUUAUUAGGUUUUUUUUUUAAUUCUUUUUUAAAAAAGAAAAAAGAGACAGAGUCUCGCUCUCUUGCUCUGUCGCCCAGGCUGGAGUGCAGUGGCACAAUCUUGGCUCACUGCAACCUCUGCCUCCAGGGUUCAAGUGAUUCUUGUGCCUCAGCCUCCCAAGUAGCUGGGACCACAGGUGCCCACCACCAUGCCUGGCUAAUUUUUGUAUUUUUUUGUAGAGAUGGGGUUUUGCCAGGUUUUGCCAUGUUGGUGAGGCUGGUCUCGAACUCCUGACCUCAAGUGAUCUGCACACGUCUGACUCCCAAAGUGCUGGGAUUAUAGGCACAAGCCACCAUGCCUGGCCUCAUUUAUUAGUUCUAACGUGUGUGUGUGCACACACGCCCUUUAGGCAUUUCUACUUAUAAGAUCCUAUCUGCAAAUAGAGAUAAUUUUACUUC